AUAAAGGCAGCAGAGAAAGGGACAAAGACAGUGAAUAUUUGACAGAUAAAGUGCUUUUGUUAAAAAGAAUAGAAUUCAUUUGGCGGGAGAGUCUUGCUGCUUUCCGAGGGUUAAUACAAGGUGGAACUAAACGCAACAGGACCAGAGUUCCCAUUGUGGUGCAGCGGAAUUGAAUCCCACUAGGAACCAUGAGGACGCAGGUUCGAUCCCUGGCCUCGCUCAGUGGGUUAAGGAUCCAGCGUUGCUGUGAGCUGUGGUGUAGGUCCUGUGUGUGUGGGAGAGACAGAGACAGGGUGUGGGGCGGCGGAGGAGGGAGGGGGAGGAGGGUAAGGGGAGGCAGAAUUUAUCAAGAGGAGUGACCCAGCUGGUUUCCUGCGGCCUGGAUUGAAGCCUGUCUGGUAUUUCAGAGGAGGGAGAGGACAGCAGACCGUAUUUAUUCUUUGUCUCUACUGCCAAGGAGAGCUUUGUUUUCAGGACCCUGCUUUGUCUAUGCAGUUAGGUCUACAGUUAUCAUAAUUUCACCUUGGGACAUCCCAAGACAAAAACACAGAUGUGACUAUUAACUCCAUAUCCUCCCCAAAGAAAGCCUGGGGUUUCUGUUUUCAUAAUAAUUCUUAGCCGAUUUCAUCAUAGAAAAUACUGAGCUGCACUCACAGACCCCAGCAGAGCCCGAUAAUUUGCCGGGGUUGCAGGAAGAGAGAUUCCACAGCAGCCUGUGGACACAGAGAGGCCUUGAGCUCACGUGUCCAACCCCACAGCCCAGGAAGAUGGGGAGUCUCUGGAUAAUUCAGCGUGGGUCCUGACUCUUUCCUCAUUGGCAAAUGUAUUUGGUUGUAUUCACUGAAUAUUAAUUGUAAAAUAGCCGAAGGUCUAAAAAUCUUAGCGUAGGAGCUGUUUACUUAAUUCAACAGCAGUCAUCCCUCGUGGUUUUGCAAUUGAUUGAUUGUACGCCAGCUUUGACCUAACUGGUGGGGAAGAUACAAUCAGUUCUUUGGUCAGAGAUGAUUAUUGCAAUCUAUUUUCUUCUCCAGACCAGGCGGGUUUAUUUUCUAAUUUUCACCUUUAAAUUGCCUAAGAAAUUAAAAUUCUGCCACCUGCCUUUUUGCAGUGUCUGUGUGUGUGUGGAAUGGGUGAAACUAAACAUAAAGGAUAUUUGAUGAGCAGGUAUCUGGACAAAAUACUGUUGUAGUGAUACUCCGUGUAAUACUCCAAAAAGCAAGACCCAGGCUUUCCUGUUAAGGAGUUUAUCAUCUAGUGGGAGCCAGAAAUGACUCAGAGCUCUAUGCACAGCUACUCGUUUUACUUAACAUUAGGAAUUAUACAAAGAAGAGUGCGAACACAGCAAACAGACAGGGGUGGGUAUUACCCACGUUCUUCUGGGAGUACCUGAGAAGGAUUUAUAGCACUAAUUCCAUUUGAACUUGGACCUGAAAGAGAAGCAGGGUUUUGACUGGCAGUCAUGAUCAGGGGCGGUACAGAUGGCAGAGGCACAAUCUCGGGCCAAAAGGGAGAGCGUGCACUUGAACAGAGGAUUGCAUGAGAGUUUCGUGGGCACAGACACCGCAGCCUAGGCCCAGUUGGAAGGAGGUGUUCGUGGACGAUGGACAAGUUAGGGUAGAGAAUUUACACAGUAGGGCAGCAGGGGAGGAUUCUGCGUUGGGAAGCCAUAUCAUUAGAUCCAUUUCUAGGACAAUAAUCAGGAAAACAAAGGGCAGGAUGAAGUGAAGGAGCUGGAGAAGAUGGGAGGCAGGAAGCCCAUCCAGGAGGCUGGUGGAAGCCCAAAGAAGCAGAGCUUCAGUGGAAGCAAAAGCGGGGGUUGGAACAAGCUGGUUUCUACAUACUGACUUUUCAAUGUUCGCUCUUGGGUUUUCUUAUGCUUCUAGCUGUUGGCUGAUAUCUACGUUUCUAUACCGAAUUAUCUGUCCAUCUAUCUACCUAAUUCUUUUUUACUUUGUUUUCCUUCCCUCUUUUUAAGUAAUGGGAUGGAGAGAAACAACCCCUUCCAUCUUGACCCCUACAUAACGGACAGCCCUUAAUCAUCUUAGGUCAUGGGAAAGGUUUCCAUGCAUCCCAGCCAUCUUGAGAGCUGACAGGGCUUGGUGCUCCUGCAGUCAGAGAUGUUACGUGGUUAAAACUGGUUUUAUCUGUCCUUACUCCCAGCCCUUCCUCGUGUCCUAUCCUCACAGAAUGUUCCUGGUUUUCUCCUUAGAUAAUUGGAUAUCAUAUUUGAUCCGCGAUGGGCUGACACAGGAAGUGUGGGAGGGGCAUCAUCUGUGCUCUUUUGGUUGAUUUGUUUCCGUGUUUACAAUGACAGAGCAACACAUUGGCUUCUUUCAUUGCUGUCUCUUUAUGCUUUUGUCCAACGGAUUACAUGUUACAUAAUUGCUCCUUAGUGAUUUUUAAAAAGAAAAUCUUCCAGCAGUAGACAAACAGAUUCUGCUAACCAAGCAUUAAGAUACCUUGAAGGGAUCCUGGUGGGUUGAGUGUGGGUUUCUGGGGAUGGGUAGGAAUGCACUUUAGAGAGAAGGAAAAUGGGGCCUGGUGAUAGUGUUUGUUGCCCCAGAGCUUGAUGGAUUCCACGCGCCCCCAUUCUGUCUCUGGGGGACAAGGCAUUUCACUUGCAGACAUAUCUUUCUUCUUUUCUGCUGCUGUAUUUCAUUCUCCCCACGGGAUGCCAGGCAAGUGCACAGUUAGGCGACACACACUGGCAGGAAACCAUCAUCUAGGCGGCCCGUAUUUGUUUCCAUGGUUCCUGAGAGGUUAGGGGUGAAGGAAAGAGGCAAAACUUGGGCACUGAAAGCAAACCUUCUAUUCUUCUCUCCUCUCAAUGCAUAAACACGCACAGCAUCCAUCUGGGCAAGGGAGACAGACCUCACUUGGUGAUUCAUUUAGAUUCAGCAUGAGAUGGAGAUAUUGUUUUAUUCUUCAUUAUAAGAGGGGCCAUUGCUUCAAAUUGACCAUUUGCCCCCCUCACUCUUUCCCAAAGUAGCCUGUUGACAAUCUCCUCUUGUAGAUUACAGUUCUCAGUAGAGACAAGUAGGGAGAAAUUCAGAUGUUGAAAAGCUUUGAGACAUCCCACAGAGUUGGAAUGCUUUUUUCAAAGGGAACAAAACUCAGCAAAUGUGUAUGUACUUGCCUCUGUGCCCCAAAGAGCCAGCUGGACAGCCCGUAAAGGACUCUGCUUUAGAAACAACAAAAGCGCAUGUCAGAAGCCAAGGGACAGGGGGCUGAGAACUAAUAAUAAUUUUGUACUUACACAGCAGUUUUGGUCGGAGGACCUCAGAGUGCUUUAUAAACAUUAAUUAAAUUGCCCCACAGCCCUGUGAGAUGUCUGUGUAUCACUAUUUCCAAUUUGCAGGGGGCAGAGGGAAGAGAAAUGAGUGCAUGGCGUGACGUUGGAACCAGGCCAGGCUACGGUGCCUGAGGACUGCAGACUCAGAAAAAGCAGAGGGACCUUUUCCUCGGUGACUCUAAGGUGAUGGCCAUGCGUCACUGUACAUGCUGGGCCAAGAAGGAGAUGUCUGGCAGCAGAGCUGUCUAGAAUGACUCCUCUGCAGGGCCUACCUGGUACAUGAGGCUACCUGCACUGGGCUUGAAGGGCGCUGGCACCAUCUCCCCCACAAGCUCAUCACCGCUACUGCCUUUAUUACAGACACGUCCCUUCAGUGGAACUCCUGGUGGCAAGUCGGUUUUACCCAAGGUGCUGGCUCUGAUUGCUUGGACGUGUAGCCGGGACAGCUGCUCGGAGAAGGGUUGUGAUGUGUACUCAGAAAAAAAUCCCAUGAUCGAUUAUCGAUGUCUGUCUUGCAUUUGGGGAAAGGUAGUUGUGGCUUGAAUUGUGUCCCCUGAAAAGAUGUCUUAAAAAAAGAUUUAUUUGGGAGUUCCUUUCAGGGCUCAGCGGUUAACGAACCUGAUUAGGAUCCAUGAGGAUGUGGGUUCGAUCCCUGGCCUUGCUUAGGGGCUUAAGGAUCCAGCGUUGCCACGAGCUGUGGUGUAGGUCGCAGAUGUGGCUCAGAACCUGCAUCGCUGUGGUCAUGGUGUAGGCCGGCAGCUGUAGCAUGGAUUCGACUCCUAGCCUUGGAAAUUCUAUAUGCCUCUGGUGUGGCCCUAAAG
rnacentral:lncRNA from 1 species